GGCAACAUUGAUAAAUAUGUCAGUUUGAUAAAACUACACUACAAAAUACAUAGAUGGCCUAACCAGAAUCUACAAUUCCAUGGCAGAACUUGACUCACGAAUUACUUUCCGAAACAGCUCUAACAACAACCGAAACAGCUUUGACAACAUCUGAUAAACACUUCGGAUCCCCAAAUUUAGUGUUCUGCCAUGUAUGUAUGACAAUAUCUCCGUGGUGUACAAAUUGAGCGACAAUUUGAGCGCAUAGAAUAAAAUAUUUUCCAUGCAAAAAAAUUACCAUAACCAGAAUGGUAUAACCAAAAACGAGCUCAAAAACAAAAUUUUUGUAAAAUCUGAAAAGUAUAUAGGCAUAAAAAAUUGUAGGGUCUAUGAUGUUACAUUGCAAUCAAUUCGUCUUAUUAAGUUAAUGAUCUUCAUAUGUAUGUGUAUGCAAAUAAACAAAUGCAAUGUUUUUAUUGCCGCUUCAA